rnacentral:rRNA from 1 species
AUGUCUUCCUCUUCCACGCCCGUCCCGUUCGAGAAUCCGAGGAAGGUAGUGAAGAAGGUGCUGUCCUUGUCCCAGUCCGAGGGGGACGGCGCCACCGUCCGCCGGAGCAUCGGCGGUUGCGAGCUCCGGAACCUGGACCCGUUUCUCCUGCUCGACGAGUUCUCCGUCUCCAAGCCCGCCGGAUUCCCCGACCACCCCCACCGGGGCUUCGAGACCGUCACCUACAUGCUAGACGGGGCCUUCACCCACCAGGACUUCUCUGGCCGCAAGGGCACCAUCAGGACAGGAGAUGUCCAGUGGAUGACGGCAGGGCGCGGCAUCGUGCACUCGGAGAUGCCGGCAGCCGACGGCGUGCAGAAGGGCCUGCAGCUCUGGAUCAACCUCGCCUCCAAAGACAAGAUGAUUGAGCCAAGGUACCAGGAGCUCGAGAGCAAGGACAUCAGCCAGGCCGAGAAAGACGGCGUGGCGGUGCGGAUCAUUGCGGGGGAAGCCUUCGGGGUGCGGUCGCCGGUCUACACACAGACGCCCACCAUGUACAUGGACUUCACAAUGCAACCAGGGUCGCAGCUCCACCAGCCGAUCCCCGAGGGCUGGAACGCCUUCGUGUACAUCAUUGAGGGGGAGGGCGUGUUCGGCAAGGAGGGUGCAGCUCCGGCGAGCGCGCACCACUGCCUCGUCCUCAGCGCAGGGGACGGGCUCAGCGUGUGGAACCGGUCCGGCGCGCCGCUGCGGUUUGCAUUAGCAGCGGGACAGCCGCUCAAUGAGCCGGUGGUGCAGCAGGGGCCCUUCGUCAUGAACUCACGUGCCCAAAUCCAGCAGGCCAUGGAGGACUACUACUACGGCCGCAACGGCUUUGAGAAGGCCAGCCAGUGGAGCUCCGCCUGA